rnacentral:rRNA from 1 species
ACACAUGCAAGUCGAGCGGUAGCACAGAGAGCUUGCUCUCGGGUGACGAGCGGCGGACGGGUGAGUAAUGUCUGGGAAACUGCCUGAUGGAGGGGGAUAACUACUGGAAACGGUAGCUAAUACCGCAUAACGUCGCAAGACCAAAGAGGGGGACCUUCGGGCCUCUUGCCAUCAGAUGUGCCCAGAUGGGAUUAGCUAGUAGGUGGGGUAACGGCUCACCUAGGCGACGAUCCCUAGCUGGUCUGAGAGGAUGACCAGCCACACUGGAACUGAGACACGGUCCAGACUCCUACGGGAGGCAGCAGUGGGGAAUAUUGCACAAUGGGCGCAAGCCUGAUGCAGCCAUGCCGCGUGUAUGAAGAAGGCCUUCGGGUUGUAAAGUACUUUCAGCGGGGAGGAAGGUGUUGUGGUUAAUAACCACAGCAAUUGACGUUACCCGCAGAAGAAGCACCGGCUAACUCCGUGCCAGCAGCCGCGGUAAUACGGAGGGUGCAAGCGUUAAUCGGAAUUACUGGGCGUAAAGCGCACGCAGGCGGUCUGUCAAGUCGGAUGUGAAAUCCCCGGGCUCAACCUGGGAACUGCAUUCGAAACUGGCAGGCUAGAGUCUUGUAGAGGGGGGUAGAAUUCCAGGUGUAGCGGUGAAAUGCGUAGAGAUCUGGAGGAAUACCGGUGGCGAAGGCGGCCCCCUGG